AGCCACCCACCACCCAGCGGCAUCUCCCCGCUUGCUUCCUUCGCCUCCACUCUACUCCAAGAACCCAGCGGCGGAGAUCGGUGGAGGUCGUCAUCACCAGAGCAACCGGCCGUAGAUGCGAGCGGGCGCGCUCCUGCUCCUCCACCGCCACCUCCACGACAGCGCCAUGGACGGCUACGGCCACACCGGCGGCGGCUCCAAGGCCGCGGCUUUCUCCUCCGCGAGGGGUCCCGCGGGGUUCCCGCCGCCUUUGCCGCCGGAGAAGCGGCGCGGGGCGGCGCUGGCGAGGCGCGGGAGCGUCGGGGCCGCCAGCGGCGACGGCGGCCCGGCGGGCAUCGGGGGAAGCUACCUGGGCGCGGAGGCGGCGGCGCUGCUGGCGUGCGUGACGGCCACGCUGCUGGUGCUGCCGCUGCUGCUGCCCCCGCUCCCGCCGCCGCCGCCGCUCUUCCUGCUCGUGCCCGUCGCCAUCUUCGCCGUCCUGGUCCUGCUCGUGCUCGUCCCCUCCGACGCCAGGGGCGCCGCCAGCACCGCUACGCCCUACUCCUCCUCCUAUAGUUAGCUACCUUAUUAGAUUGGGCGCCCGGCCUUGUCGUCAUGUAAAUGUAAUUAAACGCGGACUCGGUGUGCUCGUCUUGUUCUUCAGAGAUCAAUCCAUGGAGAGGCUUUUGUUUUGCUCGAUUCGAUCAGUCCCGAUUUCGUCGAUGGUUCUUCCCUCUCUGCAUUUGCUUCUGCAAGUACGACGGUGACAAACUGACAACCGUCGAAUUGACUUCAUUCUUGCAAAGUUGCAAUCCAGAAUUCGACCCGGACAUCGAUUCAGAUUUGGAUCCUGAACUCGUAGAGAUCUCUGAUGAUUCCGCCUCCGAGUCCGAGAGCUCUGCAUCAUUGAACUUAGAUGCAGAGCACAGCGACGAUCGAGUGGCAGCUCACGUGCCAGCAGCCAGAUGGGCCAGGGUGAUGUGGGGGCAGAUUCAGUUUCAACUUUCAACUUCCAAGGGAGUCAGAAACUCGUACCAGCGAUAGUCGUCGUGUUCCUCGCGCAGCUUCUAUCCGCGAAACGAGCAGGAUCAUGCAGUUGUUAGGAUUUCCGGGAGUCGUCACUAGCAAGAUCUCAACGAACCUGGACACGAGCUUUCUCCACACGCUACUCUGCACAGAUUUUUUUUUCCCCUUGAAGUGUUGCUGCAGCUAGAAGAAAAGUAAAGUAGUAGCUCGAAAGAUGAUGCGCAUCGAUAGAUUGCGUCACGAGAAUGUUGGAAAAAAUGGGGGCUUGUUCGUCCAUCCAACUAUAUCCAAGAAUCUAGGUGCCUUCCAAAAAGAGAAAUAUUACGGGCCUAGUUAAUGGGUAUCCGGCUCAACACUAGCUACUGUUUCAUACAGGCACGGUUAUGGAUGGGAUGCAUUCCGAGUUUUUCUGUACUAGGCCGCAGAAUACAAAGCCCACACGGCCCUGAGCUUUAAACCAAGCCCACCGCCGACCACCACCCGGCCCACAUGGGUAUUGUCAUUUAUGUAUGGCGGUUGUAGUAGUAGCCCAACUUGCGGCGUAUGCGUG
rnacentral:lncRNA from 1 species